rnacentral:rRNA from 1 species
UAUGCUUAACACAUGCAAGUCGAACGGCAGCACGAGAGAGCUUGCUCUCUUGGUGGCGAGUGGCGGACGGGUGAGUAACGCGUAAGAAUCUGCCUAGUAGUGGGGGAUAACUCGGGGAAACUCGAGCUAAUACCGCAUACGCCCUACGGGGGAAAGUGGGGGACCUUCGGGCCUCACGCUAUUAGAUGAGCUUGCGUUGGAUUAGCUAGUUGGUGAGGUAAUGGCUCACCAAGGCGACGAUCCAUAGCUGGUCUGAGAGGACGAUCAGCCACACUGGGACUGAGACACGGCCCAGACUCCUACGGGAGGCAGCAGUGGGGAAUAUUGGACAAUGGGCGCAAGCCUGAUCCAGCAAUACCGCGUGUGUGAAGAAGGCCUGCGGGUUGUAAAGCACUUUCAAUUGUGAAGAAAAGCUUGGGGUUAAUAGCCCCGAGUCUUGACGUUAACUUUAGAAGAAGCACCGGCUAACUCUGUGCCAGCAGCCGCGGUAAUACAGAGGGUGCGAGCGUUAAUCGGAAUUACUGGGCGUAAAGCGUGCGUAGGCGGUUUAGUAAGUCAGAUGUGAAAGCCCUGGGCUUAACCUGGGAACUGCAUUUGAAACUGCUGAACUAGAGUGUGGUAGAGGGAAGUGGAAUUCCGGGUGUAGCGGUGAAAUGCGUAGAUAUCCGGAGGAACACCAGUGGCGAAGGCGACUUCCUGGACCAACACUGGCGCUGAGGUACGAAAGCGUGGGUAGCAAACAGGAUUAGAUACCCUGGUAGUCCACGCCGUAAACGAUGUCAACUAGUUGUUGGGAGCAUUCUGGCUUUUAGUAACGUAGCUAACGCGAUAAGUUGACCGCCUGGGGAGUACGGCCGCAAGGUUAAAACUCAAAGGAAUUGACGGGGGCCCGCACAAGCGGUGGAGCAUGUGGUUUAAUUCGAUGCAACGCGAA